rnacentral:lncRNA from 10 species
AGUCUCGCUCAGUUGGCCAGGCCGGAGUGCAGUGGUGCCAUCUCAGCUCCAUCUCCUGGGCUCAAUGAAUUCUCCUGCCACAACCUCCCGAGUAGCUGGGAUUACACGCAUGUGUCCCCAUGCCCAGCUAAUUUUUGUAUUGUUAGUGGAGAUGGUGUUUCAGCAUGUUGACGAGACUGGUCUCGAACUCCGGACCUCAGAUUUUACCAUCACCUGUCCUGGCUCGUCCUGAGGAUGGCCUGUUUUUAAGAUGCUCACCACAAUGCAAAGAUGAAGAUGAUGAUGAUGAUGAUGGUGAUGUUGAUUGUGAUGAUGAUGAUGAUGAUGAUGAUGAUGUCCAGGUAAGAUCCCCCUUUUUUGUCUUCUACAUCAAUGUUGCUUUCCUGAUUCUUUACUUCUCAAUUAAUUUUGAUUUGAAAACCUGGCAAUGUACAUUAUGUACACUGUACACUAUUGUCUUUGUGGGGCUGGAAUUCAGUGAGCGUGUCUUCCCAACUGAUACAUGCUAUGCUGCUUUUAAAUGACAGUAUCCAAUAUCAAUUGGAAUACUGAGGCAUUUUCCACAAUACCAGUUUUCCUCCUUGGAUGAAGCAUUGUGCGUUUGCAUAUCAAAUUAAAUUUAAAGGUAAAUUCUGUGAAUAGAGGUCUUGUUUUUCUAUAGCUAUCCUCUGUGCUAGUCUUUGGGGAUUUUGACCUAUGGCUCAAUCAGUGUACUGCCUUCUGGUUUUUUAUCAUUGUCAAGAGAAUAACAGAGCUGUGUGAAGUGCACAGCAGAAUCUGAUUCUCAUAAUGUUUUCUUUUAUAUAAUUGCAGAUAAGAGCUUGGAAAGGAAACGGUAUGUACCAUGAAAUAACUCACUUCUCGAGGGAAUAACUUGCUGGCUUCAUUGUAUAGAAACCUGAUUCUUGAUUCCUGCUGGGAAACAGACUUGGGAUUCUCGUGAAAGUGAUUUUGCCAGUAUAGACCUCUGGCCCAAGAAGCUGUAGGAAGGUUUGUCAAUCCAGAAGAAAGAUUAGGGGAUCAAGUAGGAAGCAGCCUGGGGUGGGAGAAAAGCCCAUCAUUCAGCUUCAGCUAACGUAGGAGGAGUUGGGGAGUCACACUCUCUAAUGACUUAUCCUGGUGUUUUUCUUUCUAAAGACUUGACGCUGGAGAGCAUUAGUGACGAGGAGACUCAUCCAGGUAGGUAACUACGUGCCAGGAAAAUCCCAAUGGGAAAAGGUUCCCAGGAGCCUCCAGGUUAUCCCUGCUGAUCGUGAGGAGGGGCUGAAGGAGGGGGUAUGAAAUCAGAAGGAAAAUGUAAAUGUAUGUGAGGUCUGGCUUGUUGUUUUCAGUUUCUUGGCAUCAUGGUAAGAACUGUCUGUAUGGGGUAUGAGGGUUCUGCGUUCAUGAGAGAUUCUCUUUGCAGUCCACCUGCUCUUUUCUUCCUGUGGAACAUCAGAGCCUUUGGUUUAGAUUAGUCAUUACUCCUUGGGAUUGGUCACAAGGGGUGUAGGCUUAAGCAGUGGGUGUCAUCUGUGAUGAAGGGAAUCUGGGGGACACAGCUCUCUCACAGGCAUUUCCUAGAACCUAGAGACACAGUUCUUCUGCUGUGUGCCACGGGGAAAUCAAGAAUCACCCUCUGAACUUUCAGGACUUGUUAGUGCACGUUCAUGUUUCUGUCCUCACUGUGCGCUCCUGGUUUAAAGGGAUCUCCCGGGGUGGAUGGUGGGGUGAAUAUUCACUCUAGGCUCAUUGGUAAAACUCCAGGCUCCUUUGAAGGGAGGAGGAAGGUUUGACCUUGAGCACAUUUCCAGCCUCCACUUCCAACCCAGUCACAGAUUCUGAGCUGAGGCUUCUUUCUCCCCAGUUCUCUAAUUUUGGGGGAAGCCAAGAGUUCCCACAAAAGAUGGUAUCACACUAUUUCCUGUCUUCAAAAAUUUGGCUUUGGUUUUGUUCUGUAAGUUGACAUUCAUCACUCAAGUUCUAGACUUUUUGUUUGUUUGUUUCUUUUUUUUUCUUUUUUUGAGUAUUUGGAUUGCUGUUCUUGCCUUGGUUUGCUAAACAUAAUAAGCCCCAGGUCUAUCCAUGCUGCUUAGGACAUGAUUGUGUGUUCUUCUUAUGGCUGUGUAGUAUUUUGUGAUGUGUAUGCACCACAUUAAAAAAAAAAAAACAAAAACUCAAAUCCACUGUUGCUGGUCAGCUAGGAUGCUUCCACAUCUUUGUUCUUGUGAAUGGCAUGGCCAUGAAUGCGGGACAGCAUGUGUCUUUUUGAUAGAAUGAUUUAUUGUCUUUUGGGUAGAUACCAAGUGUCGUGGAAUUGCUGGGUCUGAUGGUAGUUCUGUUUUAAGUUUUUUGAGAAUCUCUCAACUGGUUUGCACAGUGUGAACUAGUUUUCACAUUGACCAAGAGUGUAGCAGCGUUCCCUUUCCUUUGCUGCCUCACCAGCAUGUUGUUUUGACUUUGGAAAAUUACCCAUUGUGACCAACAUGAGAUGAUAUCUUAUUGUGUUUGGGAGUUGCAUUGCACUGAGGUUGUGCAUUUUUUCAUGUUGGUUGAUCACUUGAACGUCUUCUUUUUUUUUUUUUUUGAGACAGUAUCUCACUUUGUUGCCCAGACUGGAGUGCAGUGGUGCAAUCUUGGCUCACUGCAACCUCUGCCUCCUGGGUUCAAGUGAUUCUCCUGCCUCAGCCUCCUGAGUAGCUGGGAUUACAGACAACUGUCACCACGCCCACCUAAUUUUUGUAUGUAGAUAAGGGGUUUCACCAUGUUGGCCAGGCUGGUCUCAAACUCCUGACCUCAGGUGAUCCACCCACCUCAGCCUCCCAAAGUCCUGGGUUUACAGGUGUGAGCCACCGUGCCUGAGUAGCAGUGAUUGUUUUUGUAAGGUAAAGUCAAUAACAAAAACUAGAGUUUUUGACUUCUGUUGUUGGAAGUGGUUUUUUUUCUAUUUUUCUCUUUUGUCUGUUGUUUGCUUUUAUAUCCUGUGAGCUUAGAUUCAGGUUUUCCUCAACUUAAGCUCACUCUGUGUUUUCCUGUAGCAGUUUUAUGCUUUUAGGUCUUGUGUUUAGGGUUUAAUGUAUUUCGAGUUUGUGUUUGUGUAUUGUAUAACAUCAAUGUCUUAUUUCAUUCUUUUGUAUGUGGCUAUCCAAUCUUUUCAGACUGCUCAAUUGAACAGACUGCUGACUCCUCAUCUCAUCCUUUUUCCCCUUGGGGACACAGUCCCACUCAUGCUGUCACCCAGACUGGAGUGCAGUGGUGAGAUCUCAGCUCUCUGCCACCUCCGCCUCCUUGCUUCGAGUGAUUCUCCUGCCUCAUCUUCCCAAGUGGCUGGGAUUGCUGCUGUGCACCACCACACCUGACUAAUAUCUUUUGUAUUUUUACUAGAGAUAGGAUUUCACCAUUUUGGCCAAGCUGGUCUGAAACUCCUGACCUCAAGAGGUCCACCCAACUCGGUCUCUGAAACUGCUGGAAGUACAGGUGUGAGCCACAGCACAUGGCCUCAUUGCAUCUUCUAGGCAUUCUUUGAAAAAGAAUGUGUUGACUGCAGGUGUGUGUUUAGAUUCUCUUAAGUCCCUAGGUUGAUGGAUUCAUUUUUAUGCCACUACUGUAGUCUUUGGAUGAGUGGAGGUGUUACAUGUAAUUUGAAAUUGGGGAGUGUGUGGCCUCCAGUUGAGUUUGUAUUCCCUAGAAUUGCUUUGCAUAUUCAGGUUCCUUGGGUCUUCAGUGGAUCCAUGUGAACAUUUAGCCGUGUAUUGUUAACAUUUCAUAAAACGUUUGUUUUACACUUCAUGUCCAGAAUUAGGGGUGCAUUGGGACAUUGUGAUACUUGUUUGUAUACCUUGAGUAUGGAUAAAAUCAGGGAGUUUCCCAUGCUUGUGACCACGUGUAAGUUUGAUAUCUUCGAUGUGUGAACAUUCAGUAUCCUCCUUGGUAGCUACUUUGAAAACGGCAUAACCAUAU